GGUUACCACCCAAUGCCCCGAGAAGAUUGAUUAAUGAAGAGGAGGUCAUCACCAUCAGUGAUGAAUCUACCUCUUUGGAAGAAUUCAAUUUAAGUCAAAGCCUGUCUUCUGCGUGUUUGAUAAAAGAGAUGGACUCUGCCUUCAUGGCAGACACCGUUGUGGACUCUCCACCCGUGGAGGAUAAGUCCCCGGCCGCUGAGCGUUAGCCAGCCGGGGCCAUUAGGAGACGAAAACAUCGGAGUAAUUAAGGUUACACCUUAAUUACAGAAGACUUUUUGCCACUUAAAACCAGGACCAAGUCACCGAUGUUUCUUGUUCUCCUAAUUGAAAUUAAAU